CGAAAGUGUCCAUGCCGGCCAUUACUCUUCGUAAGCUUGCUCGUUACUGUCCGUAAAAAUUUUUACGUGAUAAAAACAAGUUCUAUACCGAUAGGAACGGCGCGAUGGUGAAAUGAGUCCCCGUAAUCUGACGCGGCGAUAAUUCUUGCCGAUAUCACCGCGAGGAUGUGUACGACAUAUCCGUGCAUGGAACCGCGCAGGGCAACAACAUCCACCGCGAACUCGCGCACGAGUUUCGACGUGUGUUUCCACGCGGACGGUGAAACUUUUACCCGGCAAUGACGCGAGAGAAACGAACUUUUCCUCGGGAAGGUUCUCCGUCAGCGGACGCUCGCCGGCGCAACUUCAUACCAAAGUUCCAACGAUAUUAUUUCCCUGAUAAAAGUUUCUCAAGGUGUCAGUGGAAUCGGGGCCAAUGUACAACCGGAUAUUACGUUUCUUAGAUGCUAUAUGAAACGAAAUAAACAAUUUCUCUAUAUUCACAAUGGAAAAGGAACGAAAUAAGAAGGAUAAAGGAAGAAGAAAUAAAUUUUUUAUUGUAAAUCAAACCGUCGCGAAAAUUAUUGGCUAUUAAAGAGAGAGUAAAACAA